GUUUCGUGCUCACGAACCAGGUGUUCUGUGUGAGAGCGAGUGCACUUCGAAUUACCGAAGAAAACCCCUACGAGACUAUGUCUUCGCACGGCAAGAUGACGACCGAGAACGAUUUGAGUCAGGUAGAGACUGGAGGUGGUGACCAGUCCACCCGUAGAAAACUGACCCAUGAGAGUGAUGAGGGGAGGUUGAAGGUAAGUUAUCAUUUCUACAACAUUUAUGGCCAGUCAGAAGUCGUAUGAUAUGUCAGUUAUUGUCAAGCCAUGCUGGGGGAUUAUCUCAUCUUCACCAGCCAGAGGUGUUUGAAAUUUCUUCUUUACAAUACCGUAAGGCCACACUAACUUAAUUUU